rnacentral:rRNA from 1 species
GUGGGGAAUAUUGGUCAAUGGGCGCAAGCCUGAACCAGCCAUCCCGCGUGCAGGAAGACGGCGCUAUGCGUUGUAAACUGCUUUUCCAGGGAGAGAAACUUGCGCACGUGUUGCGCAAUUGACGGUACCCUGGGAAUAAGCAUCGGCUAACUCCGUGCCAGCAGCCGCGGUAAUACGGAGGAUGCGAGCGUUAUCCGGAUUCAUUGGGUUUAAAGGGUGCGUAGGAGGACUAUUAAGUCAGUGGUGAAAUCCUGCAGCUUAACUGCAGAACUGCCAUUGAUACUGAUAGCCUUGAGUUUGGUUAAGGUAGGCGGAAUGUGUAAUGUAGCGGUGAAAUGCUUAGAUAUUACACAGAACACCAAUUGCGUAGGCAGCUUACUGAGCCGACACUGACGCUGAGGCACGAAAGCGUGGGGAUCGAACAGGAUUAGAAACCCGGGUAGUCC